GCCUUGGUGGUCCCAGUGGGAAGUGCACUCUAGCAGCAUCUCCGAGUUCACUCUGACGAGAUUGGAGCGUUGCCGUGCUAACUGCGGCAACGCUCUGACUUCGGGAGAGGAACCUGCAGAUUAGAGCUUCCCCGGGUCCCCUCUCUCCUCUCCCUGCUGCUGACUGCCCAUUUUAAUGCCUGUGGGCCAGUGAGGGAGAUCUUUCAUCUCUCCACCAGCAUAUGAACUCUCAAAUCAG